UCAGAAGGGGUUAAAAUUAAUUUUGAUUUCAACAAACAGUACCCUAUGAAACACAUUUUCGGUAAAUCGUAAAAAUAAGGUCACUUUGCAGGCCAUGCUUUUAAUUUUAUCAUUUUCAAGGGGGGAAAAGGGGUGUUACGAGUGAAACUGGAUGAAGGUGAUAUAUUCCUUUUGUAGGGCAUGUCCUAAACUAUCAGAUAGCGUUGCUAUCUCAAAAAUCAUUUUUUUGCAGUUAGGUCACUUUGCAGGCCGACUCCUCAAAUCAUACUCAUACCCAUUAGCAAAUAACUAAGUAGUUCAUUUUUGUUAUGUUUUAGUUUUUUAAUAUGACUGAGGUGAAAUUGAAACAUUGAAUCAAAGAAGGGCCUCUUGUCAACUUGAAUUAUACUUAUGACAGACACUUCUUGGGUUAAACCUUUCAAUUGGAACCUGAUCUUUUAAUUCUUUUCUUAAAAAAAGCUCAACCAGAUUGUUAUAAAAAUACUUAUUUGAAAUUACAGGUAUCACACCUCAAAUGAUCUCUGUACAUGGACUCCCUUGCCGCACCAACAAUCACCAAGAGGCUUUUCACGGUAAUAUGACAUUACACGUUUCAGACAGUCGAAGGAUGGCGCAUCCCAAAAUGGGAAGAUCAUUAGAAUCUUUACGUUUCAUGGAAAAUGACGCUUGUAACAAACUUCGACAAAUGGCCCUUGGGUUAAAAGUUACUUUCUCAAGAAAUAAAAAGUGGGAUCGACAGGAUAGACAGGUCGCGGCAGCGACAAACAAGUUGAAUAAUAAAAUCGACAUGGUCCGAAACAUACCAGAUGCAGAGCUGAAAAUGGAACUGGAAGACAUAUAUAUUGAAGAAUUCUUGCAAAGAGCAAAGCAUUUUUUUAAUUUUGCUGAGGUUGAGGAAGAUGAAAUUGCGGCUGCUGAGAACGAAGCAGAUGAAUAUGAAGUGAUUGAAGUAUAUUGAUUGACUAGAAAAAUAUUGAACAGGCAGUGGCGUACGUACAUGGAUGGUGGAUGUUUCCCGUUUCCCAGCCCCCAGGGAUUCCGUGAUAUUUAAGUUGCGUUUACAAUACCUACCUAUUAUUAGAUAUUUAUUUUCCUUGGAUUGAAAAUGGUAAAAAAAAUUGUCAAACAUCAGACGUACCUACAGUUUUUCUAUUUCGAGGUUGGUUGAUUUUUUUCCUGCUUUUUUCCUGAAAGUGUACAAAAAACGACUUGUGAUGAUUGGAAAUUAAAUUUUCUACAAUUUGGGACAAGUAUAAUUUUUUUGUAGGAAAAAGUUACCAAAAAAAUAUGAUUGAAAAUCAAACAAGUACUUUUUGAGUAGAUCACGUUUUUUUUUCUGAAAAAAUAAAUCUCAGAAUCGGUGUAAAAUUUUACAUAAAAAAAUUCAAAAUUUUCACCAAGAUGAGAUAUAUGGUAAAUAUAAACAAUCCAAAACAAAAUUUAAAAGUCGAAAAAAACAUUCUAAAAAUCUGAUAUUUCAAAAUACUUUUUUUAUUACAUUCAAGAAAAUAAAUAAAAAUGAAAUGGAAUAAAAUAUAACGUCGGGGUUUUCGAUUCUGAUCGAAGACUAUUGGGAAGAUUUGGAUUUGAAUUUUUGAUCUUAUUUUUGAUUUUUUUUUUCAAACAGUAAUUUCUCAAUUUUUACAUUGAAAUGAGAAACUUUCAUCUAUGUAAAUUUCUCCUUAAAAUUAUUCCAGAAUAAAAUUUCAACUAAUUUCAAAAUCUG